rnacentral:rRNA from 1 species
UACAGAGGUCCCGAGCGUUGUUCGGAUUCAUUGGGCGUAAAGGGUGCGUAGGCGGCGGGGCCAGUCUGAUGUGAAAUCCCGGGGCUCAACCCCGGAACUGCAUUGGAUACUGCCUUGCUCGAGUACUGGAGAGGGAACUGGAAUUUACGGUGUAGCAGUGAAAUGCGUAGAGAUCGUAAGGAAGGCCAGUGGCGAAGGCGAGUUCCUGGACAGUUACUGACGCUGAGGCACGGAAGGCCAGGGGAGGCAAAACGGG